CCGCCAAGGCGCGGGAGGGGCAGAAGAUUCCAAGAAGGCAAGGGAACGGGAGCGCCCAAGCGCAAAGGCUCCACGCGGGACGGGGGGCGAGUCCACUAGGCAGGCACCUACCUGAAAUGGCGGGGGCGGGGGCGCCGCCACCGAACGCGCCCCGCCGGACUUGCCCCUUGCCCUCCCCGCGUGGCCCGCCCGCUCGAGGAGGCGCGACGCUCCCCGGGAAUCCAGCCCUUCCCUUCCCUCCCCUAUCUCCUCGCGGCGGGCGCCUCAAAUAGGCGUCGCGUCCCCCCGCGCGCUAGAUCAAGGGGGGGCUUGUGUCGUCGGGUUGACUCGGGUGAUGGCUGCCGGGGCGUGGAUGGGCGGGCCGAGCGACGCGGGCGGCCGGCGGAGGUGGGCGCGGCGGUCGUGCCGGACUGGAGCGGGAGCCGGGGUCGUCAGGCGGACGGUCGCGGCGCCGGCGGCCGGGGCGAGCACGGCGCUGCCGCGGGUGGCGGAAGGGUUUGCUCAUGUGGACAAGCAACGGCGUGUUCAUGGUGUACAAGCAGAUUUCAGAUAUAGCAGUGGAUUCACAGAUCAUCUUUCUUCCGACAUUGGGGAAUUCAAGCACAAGAGCUCCUAUGGAGGUUCUACAAGAUGUCUUCCGUCAGAGAUAAAUGUUACAGAAACAAGCCACGUGCAACCUUUGGUGAUGGCAGAAUUGGAUGGUUUUGAUGCUGCAGGUGCAGUUCCUGUUGAUUCGCAGAAGACUUCUAUUCCAUGUCAAAGAGAGGGUAAAACAUCUAGCAAUAUGCCCAUACGGCAUAAAUAUUGCCUCAACAAUCCCACCAGCAGUUUGAAGAAUCCUCCAACUGUAAAGAGUUGCAGUGAUAUGAGUGAUUUCAGUUAUCAACUGGUCAGAAGUGCUGAAAGGUCAGCUUCUACUAAGAUGGGUUUAACCAGAGCAAACAGUUCCCUUUCUGAGAAAAUGUCAUUGCUACGUCAACCACGGUAUGGUGGUAAUCAUCAGAACCAAAAACAUAUCAGUGCUUUGAAUCGAAGACACAAAGUUGUGAAUUCCAGAGGGACAAACGACCUGCUUAAUACAGAGAAGUUCCAUGACCAGCCUGAUUCAUCAUUGGGAAAACAUUCACAGGUUUUGUUAAAUAAUGCAUUAGUUCGAGAAAAGCAACUGUGCUGUUCAGAUCUACUCAAUCAAAAAGCAACUGAAGAAUUAUGGAGCCCUGCAUACAGUGAAUCUGAGAAGAUAGUAUGCUUUUCCUCGGGUGACAGCAUUGACGAUUUGCAGGUAUCAUCUUCAAGUGACACUAGUGAUAGCUCCAACUUAUCAUCUCUUGGUGUUGUAGCUAAUGACCAAUGGAAGAUGACCUUCAAAAAGGUAUACUGCCCUCAUGCUGCACGCCUAGACUCUACAUCUGUCAUCUACCGCAAAGAAAUAGGUCAGGCUAGCCCAAUAUCUGUUCUUGAACCUCCAUCUGAAGAUUGCUCUGAUUCUGAAAACAUCAGGCGAGAGCCUGCAGAUCUCUAUGAUCUCCAACUGAGACUUGAACUUGGCACAUUUGCACCAUCAGAGACUGCUGCAGAGGCGAGUAGCAUUGGCAGAACUAGUGACUAUUUAUCCUCUGAAGUGGAGUCGAGCAAGGACAUUCCCGUGCAGCUGGUUGAAGAUAUUCUUGAAGAUUUUGAAGAUGAAGAGGAAAGGGAUUUUUCUUACUUGCUCGAUAUACUGAUUGCUUCUGGCAUUCAUGGAACUGCGGAGGAUCAACUUUAUAAGGUGUGUCAGUCACUCGACUGCCCUGCUGGCUAUGAUGUGUUUGAGAAGCUGGAAAACAAGUACACUAAAGUUGUUAAAUGGUCAAGAUCAGAGAGGAGGCUUUUAUUCGAUAUGGUCAACACAGUAUUGUCACAAAUGCUAGCGCCAUGCUUGAACAUGCAACCUUGGGUGAAUACUGCAAGGAACUUGGCUCCACUAUGGGGUUCAGAGGGUCUAUUGGAAAAAGUCUUGCAGGUCUUAGCUCAGAGACAGGAAGAACUUGCACCAAGUGAGACAAAGCCCGAGAAGAAAGGAUUUGAUCAGAAGUGGCUAGAUUUAGCAGAUUGCAUCGACAGGGCUGGAAGGGAUAUUGAGAAAAUGAUAAAGGAUGAUCUUUUGGACGAGCUGGUUCUUGAGCUACUUUCCAGUUAGGUUUCCACAGCCAUAGUAGGCUUACACACUGUUGCAGUACAGGUCCGUUGUUUCUUCGAGUUAGUUUUUGUAGUCAGUUGCAAUUGUUUUUUUUUGAGGGGUCAGUUGCAAUUGUUUUUGGUCCUUACGAUCAAUGUUCUUUGCUAAAGCAGUGGUUGACAGGGUUUUUGGUCUAGUCGCCGUGCUUCUAGAGAGGUAUUAGAAUCUUGUCAAUUGUAUUGGAUUAGGUGAUGUCCGUAGUCAUAUUCUUUUCUUCCUCGAAAAAGUACAUGUCGAAGCGGAAUCUGUAAGGAUGGGAGUCUUUUCUGUCGAAUUUUGUCAGCUGUGAGAGUUUUAAGUCUGUUGAUGAGGGUAAAUUGUAGUCCCCAGACAUUUGUAUUGUUCUUGAAAGGAAGAAUAAGCGCCGUGUUCUUUUGUUCA